CUUCCUUUUCUCCAGCUUUAUAAAGGGAGUGAGUGGUGGACCUUUCCAGUACCUCAAGCCACUGUCUAUCAUUCAAUAUGAAUCUACUGACAAAAAUCAGCCCACUGCUCAUGGUGACUUUAUCUCUUUUCAUCUCCGUGCAGGCUCUACAAUGCUUCAAGUGUGACCGUUCCCCAAUUUCCAUGAAUUGUGCGACAUUGGAACACUACUGUGAGGCAAAAAGUGACCAGAAAUGUCUCCUAAAGACAAUCUUUAGAGGAGAAACUUUGAGUUCUGUGACCCAAAAAUGUUCUGCUUCUUGUUUCAACAGUACCCUCACCAAGGGAAGUUUGAAAGUGCAACUUACAUGUUGCGAUUCCUAUUCUUUUUGUAACAAGUUUUAAAGGCCUGGUUCUUUUUUGGCCUGUUCUAUUCAGAACUGUUCAUUGCAUCACAGCCCUGGAGUGUGUGAUCAAGAUUUCUUCUACUGAACCAUAUCUCCAGCCUCAUACUUUCCUUUCUCUAUAUUAUACAUUAGAUACUGUUCCUAUUUUAUAUGCAUCUAUAUUUUACAUUGGGUACUUUCACAUGCAUGUAUGCCUUAUUAAAUUGAUUUC
rnacentral:lncRNA from 1 species